UUGAAAAAGUAGCCAGUUUUCAGCAAGAGUCUUUGAUUUGGACAGUGGCGCAGAUAGAAUGGUCCCCCGCAGGUCUGGAGCAGAGCUUGAAAAACACAGUCUCCAUAAAAGAGAACCACGUCCAGCGGAGGAUCAUAGUCAGAGCGGUCAUUGUGGUAGUGGUCUGAGUCAGAGUGGUAAGGCUCAACAAUCUUCGAUGAGAACAGGCAGAGGCGAGAGAUACAGCCCAAGGACGAGCCCUUCUGGCCCAGAAAGCUCCCACUGCCAAUUGGACCCAGCAGCAGGAAUUGAACCCGGGAUUACACUAACCGCUACAUUACUGUUGUGCCCCUGUGUAUAAAUCAAUAACCAGUUAGUGUGCUCCUUUCAGCGAGAAAGACAUCCCUUUACAAACAGAGGUGUACGAUGGAAUUCUGACCGGUUGCAUCACGGGCUGGUAUGGAAGGUCCUAUGCUCAGGAACACAAGAAGCUACAGAGUGUGGGCCCAGCCUGUUCCAACACGGGUACAGUUCUCCCCACCAUCAAGGACAUCUACUAGAAUGUGACAUCUAUUGUUAUGAACCCCCACCAUCUGGGCCAUGCCUGAAGGUUCAACAAGAGCUUUUAGGUCAAUCAGAUUCUUGAAACAACCUUGAACUAUAUUUCCCUCAAUUUAUGCCAAUUUUGUUGUGUUUCUAUUUUCCUACAUUUUUGUGUAAAUUGAGCAUAGGUUAUGCUAUUUCAAGUUUGUUUAUGUUAUACUUGUACUGUGUUGCUGCUGAAAAAGGCUAACUUGCAUGGCCUCUAUGCCCUGGGAAAUCUGAUCUAAAACUCAUGAAUUAUAUCCUCCGGAAAAUCAGAGGCAUCCACAGAAACCUUCAUUCCUAAUCACUCACCAAUCCCAUUGGCUACCAAACAUUGUAGCUAACUGAGAAUCAAAUUAUUAUCAACAAGAUAAGAUUCCCAAAAUGAUCAGUCAUGUUGUAACAGGACUGGAGGGAGUGGAAACUGAGCAGCUAAGAAACACAUUGGGCAUUUUUAUUAAUAAUUUAUUCAUUAGCAAUAUCAGAAGUAGUACCAUCAAAAAUAGAUACAUUACAAUAGCAUGGAAAUGUUUUCCUUCUCGUAUCUUGCCUUAACUUUAGUGAAUUUUUGGAGAAAUUAUGUAAUGGUCAUGUAUACGUCAUUUCUCAAGAAUUUUUGCCAAAACCCUGGCAAGAAGCCAGGGAGUAUUAACAUUGUGUUUCAGGCUGAGAGCUAUAUAUAAAAAGCAUGGAGAAGGAAGAUGGCAGAAGAUAAAGACCAGUAACAUUUCAUGGGAUCCUCUUUGUAGAGGAAGGCCGAGGUAAUAUUUUCAAGCUGAGAAAGUACAAUUGUUAGGUUUAAAUGCACCAGUUUCCUGAGCACAAAACAAAUAUAAUACAUAACACUGUAGCAGGUUUACAUUUGCAUUAAUUAACAUCUUUUUCCCUGGGUGAUCUGCACAGGGAACCUUGAAUGGGGUUUGCAUCUCUAUUGCAGACCACUUGACAAAAUAAUCAUCAGUGAGGCUGGGUCUGUUCAAAAUCUCUGGACUGGUAGCAAAUGUAACCCUUGAAUGUAGGGACUGUCUAUUGAAGAAUGGUUUAGCUAGUUGGGCCUUGAGCUUAGAAGAAUGUGUUGGCACAGCUACUUGACAGUACCGGAGACACAGGUUCAAUCCUGACCCUGGGUGCUGCCUAGGUAGAGUUUGUCUUUUAAGAACAACUUCUUCCUCUCUGCUAUCAGAUUUCAGAACAGUCUACAAACACUACUUCACUACUUCUCACAUAGCAUUCUGAAAUUCUGAGAAAUGAGCUCACAUCACCCUAACCAUCCCAUUCUUAAUAAGAUAGAUGAUAAUUAAAUGUAACUCCCAAAAAUAAAUCAAGGCAUGGGCCAGAUCAAACUGGCAGAGUCCAAUGACAGUGAGAAAUGGCAAAGUUUCAACUUUUAGGUAGAUAUGCACCAGUUCACCCUUGUAAGAAGAUCAAGAAAUAUAUGAGGGAUUUCCCCUCUGCCCAUACACCAACAAACCCCAAACCCAAAGCGAGUUUGUGUUCCCUUUCUUCAGGUUUUCUGGUUUCCUCACACAUCCCAAAGAAGUGUGGGAUUCAAGGUUAAGUGGCCUAUGCAAAUUGCAUAGGUGAGUAGUUGGGUCUCGAGGACCGCUAUACUGUAGAUGAAGUGGGAUUAAUGUAGGAUUAGUCAAAAUGGGUGGUUGAUGGGUGGUGUGGAGCCAAAAGGGCUGUUUGCUGCUGUACACCUCUAGGACUCUGACUCCAUGUGAUCUUUGAGUUCAAGAGCAAUGAGGUAAUUUUACAGCUCUUUAAAACUCUGGUUAGACCACCUUGGAGUAUUGUGUUAGGUUCUGGUCAUUAUAGGAAGGAUGUAGAAGUUUUAGAGAAGGUGCAGAGCAGAUUUACUAGAACACUCCCUGGAUUGGAAAGCAUGAGUAAGGCUGAGUAAGCUAGAGCUCUUCUCUUUGGAGCAAGGGAGGAUGAGGGGUGACUUGAUAGAGGGGUACAAAAUGAUAAGAAGCAUAGAUCGAGUGGACAGCCAGAGAAUUUUUCCCAGAUAGUGUGAGGAGGCAUAAUUUUAAGGUAAUUGGAGGAAAGUAUAGGGGAGAUAUCACAGGUAGGUCUUUUACAGAGAGUGAUGGAUGUGUGGAAUGCGCUACCAGAGGGAGUGGUUGAGGCAGAUGCAUUAGAGACGUUUAGGAGACUCUGAGAUAUGCACAUAGAUAAUAGAUUGAUCUAAGUGAAGGUUAAAAGGUCUGCACAACAUUGUGGGCUGAAGUGGUUGUACUGUGCUGUAAUGUUCUAUGUUCUAUCUUCUGGAAACAAUUAGGACUCAAAGCUGAUUAACAGGAUGGAUUUU